GUCUUUGUGGUGUAAUGGUAGCACGCGUCCCUGAUAUGAGUAAAAAGCGGAUUCAAUUCCCGCCUGAGAACG